rnacentral:tRNA from 1 species
GGGUCUUUAGCUCAGUUGGGAGAGCGCCUGCAUGGCUUGCAGGAGGUCGACGGUUCAAGUCCGUUAAAAUCCA